rnacentral:rRNA from 1 species
GACGAACGCUGGCGGCGUGCUUAACACAUGCAAGUCGAACGGAAAGGCCCUGCUUUUGUGGGGUGCUCGAGUGGCGAACGGGUGAGUAACACGUGAGUAACCUGCCCUUGACUUUGGGAUAACUUCAGGAAACUGGGGAUAAUACCGGAUAGGAGCUCCUGCUGCCAGGUGGGGGUGGGAAAGUUUCGGCGGUUGGGGAUGGACUGGCGGCCUAUGAGCUUGUUGGUGGGGGAGUGGCUUACCAAGGCUUUGACGGGUAGCCGGCCUGGGAGGGUGACCGGCCACAUUGGAACUGAGAUACGGCCCAGACUCCUACGGGAGGGAGCAGUGGGGAAUAGUGCACAAUGGGCGGAAGCCUGAUGCAGCAACGCCGCGUGCGGGAUGACGGCCUUCGGGUUGUAAACCGCUUUCGCCUGUGACGAAGCGUGAGUGACGGUAAUUGGUAAAGAAGCACCGGCUAACUACGUG